rnacentral:sRNA from 1 species
ACAAAAGCGUUGAGCAGGAGUAGUAGGUCAACAAACACUACAGAGAGUAGCCGGGCGGUGCGAGGCUACAAAUCAAACUGACCGAACUCGCCUGUGAGCAAUAAUUGUGAAGCUUUUAACCAAUAGUACCUAAAAAAAAGCCAAGCAUUUGUCGGGACGCCCGUUAUAGCGUACAAUGAGUGUACAUCAAUCGCUCUCAAUCUUCAGCACAGCAACCAGUAUGGGCCUGUAGCGCAGCUGGAAGAGCGCAUCCAUGGCAUGGAUGAGGUCAGGGGUUCGAGCCCCCUCAGGUCCACCAGCUUUAUCUUAAAAGCUGAGAUCGAGCAUUGAUGACAAUUCAGGGUGGUACCACGGAAUAGCCUUUCGUCCCUAGC